CAUCAAGCUACGUCAAUGGGGGUUUAGAAAAAUCAGACGAGGUUUCUGAAGCUUCUCUUCGAAACCCUAGGAAGAAGCCCCCAGCUCAAAGAGAAACCCCGAUAUCACCCACAGUCGCGAUACUCAUAAUGCUAGCGAUGGUACUUACAACAACGUACCGGAGGUAUUUCCGGUGGAGCUCUUGAGCUUUUUUCUCCUCGAGUGUUAGGCUGUUAGCGAUGUGUGGAUUUCUUCGCUUGAGUUCGAAUCCGUGAAAGAAAACUUUCAAAGGCAGCUGCUAUGCUGAACUUGUUAUUUGCACGUCAGUCUGAUCCCUUGUUGUAAAUGAUAUAUUUUUCAUUUCCAAGCUUUUAACUGUCAAAAUCGUUCAUGUUUUUGUGAUGAGAAAUGUGUUGUGAAUCCAUGCUAGUGUUGUACUUCAUCGGGUUUGGGAAAUGAUGACAAGCUACAAAAACGUUCAGAGGCAGCUGCUAUGCUGAACUUAUUAUUUGCACGUCAGUCUGAUCCCUUGUUAAUGUUAUAGUUCUCAUUUCCAUGUUUCUAAAUGUCAAGACUUGUAGUUGGCUUGUUACUUUUAUUGUUUUUUGAACAUUCACAAAGAAAAAGAUAUUUAUCCUUUCAUGUUUUCUUAUUUUCUUAGCUCCAAAAUCUUUUAAUGUUUGCGACUAUUUUACUUUAUUGGGUUUGGGAAAUGAUGACAAGCUACAGAAUACUUUCAGAGGCAUUUGCUAUGCUGAACUUGUUAUUUGCACGUCAGUCUGAUCCCUUGUUGUUAAUGUUAUAUUUCUUGUUUCGAAGCUUCUAAAUCUUAAGACUUGUAGCUACUUUGCUCCUCGUACCCGGAAAAGUUAUAUGCUACUUAAGCUGUUUUGCAUGUAUGACAUAACGUUUUCAAUUUCACUCCAUCUUGCUUUCAUAUUCUCUUUCAAAAUCUCUCUGCCCUGUUUUGUAAAACCUUCUUCUCAAGUUGGGGCUAGAGACUUGAGCAUUCGUUGCUCGGCCAUGGGCGCGAAUACAAAUUCGCUUGACUCACUUAGUUUUUAAUACAAACUCUCCUACUCAAUUUUUUAAGUUUUAGUUAUUAUUAUUAUUUUUCUUGUUGAAAUUUGGGAAAUGAAGACAAAAUUGAAAUGUUCAACAGAGGUAGAUGCUAUGCUAUGCUGAACUAUAUUGCACGUCAGUCUGAUCCCAAAUAUUGUUCCUUUUAUUCAAAUUGACGAUGGUCAUUCUCUUAAAUCCUCAAAGAUCUUGGCCAAACUCCAUUAAUCAAACGAAACUACAUUUCAUGGAAUGCCUCCACUUGCAUUGACAUCCAAAUUCAUUUCUUUGAAAUUCCUCAUUUUGAAGUCUGUUUGAUUAUAUUUUUCCUUCUCCCUUCCAAUAGUUCGUAUUGGGUUCUUUGGCUGUACCAAUUUUUUGAUCCUACAGCUGCUAUAUGAAAUUUUCAUAUAUUCAUUUU